rnacentral:rRNA from 1 species
AACGAACGCUGGCGGCCGGCUUAACACAUGCAAGUAGAACGCAUCUUUCGGGGUGAGUGGCAGACGGGUGAGUAACGCGUGGGAACGUGCCCUUCAGUUCGGGACAACUCAGGGAAACUUGGGCUAAUACCGGAUACGUGCGAGAGCAGAAAGAUUUAUCGCUGAAGGAUCGGGCCGCGCCUGAUUAGCUAGUUGGUGGGGUAAUGGCCCACCAAGGCGACGAUCAGUAGCUGGUCUGAGAGGAUGAUCAGCCACCUUGGGACUGCGACACGGCCUAAACUCCGUCGGGAGUCAGCGGUGGUGAAUAUUGGACAGAGGGCGCAAGCUUGAUCCAACCAUGCCGCGUGAGUGAUGAAGGCCUUAGGGUUGUAAAGCUCUUUCGUCCGAGACGAUAAUGACGGUAUCGGAAGAAGAAGCCCCGGCUAACUUCGUGCCAGCCGCCGCGGUAA